rnacentral:ncRNA from 1 species
UCUUAUCGAGAGAGGCGGAGGGACAGGCCCGAUGAAGCCCGGCAACCGGCUCCAGCGUUGAUUGCAAGUGCAAUGAACGCAAAUGGAGUGACAUGGUGCUAAUUCCUUCAAAGCAGCGCGACGUAAAGGCUGCUUUGACAGAUGAG